GAUGAAGAACGUAGCGAAUUGCGAUAAGUAAUGUGAAUUGCAGAAUUACGUGAAUCAUCGAAUUUUUGAACGCAAAUUGCACUCUUUUCGGAGAGUAUGCCUGUUUGAGGGUCAGUAAAAAAAAAAUUAUCAUGAUACUUUUUUUGAAUCAUGGAAUUGGAUCCUUUCAAAGGUUUUUUUUUCCUUUGAUGAUCUCAAAUUUAUGUUUAAAGGGCUAUAUUAAAUUGAACUAAAAAGAGCAAUUAUAUUUAUUAAAUAAUAUUAUCUCGAAUUUUAGUGAUAUUUAUUUAGUCAAAUUUUAUGAUUUUUUAGCAUUUUAUUUAUGAUAAAAUUCAUAAAAUUAUUUUUAACAUUUGACCUCAAAUCAGGUAAGAAUACCCGCUGAACUUAAGCAUAUCAAUAAGCGGAGGA
rnacentral:misc_RNA from 1 species